rnacentral:RNase_P_RNA from 1 species
CGAGCCAGCCGGGCGGUCGCGUGGAUCCGUCCACGAGGAAAGUCCGGACUCCGCAGGGCAGGGUGGUGGGUAACACCCACCCGGGGUGACCCGCGGGAAAGUGCCACAGAAAGCAGACCGCCGGUGCGGUACGCCGCAGCGGUAAGGGUGAAACGGUGGUGUAAGAGACCACCAGCGUCCGGGGUGACCCGGACGGCUCGGUAAACCCCACCCGGAGCAAGGCCAAGAGGGCUCAGGCGAAGCCUGGGCCUGCGCAGGCGUUCGAGGGCGGCCCCGCCCGAGCCUGCGGGUAGGCUGCAGGAGGCUGUCGGCAACGGCAGCCCUAGAUGGAUGGCCGCCCGCGCGGACCCAGGUCCGCGCGACAGAAUCCGGCUUACAGGCUGGCUCGUCCG